UGCUGAAUGUGAUUACAGGAUUUGGAUCUACUGUUGGUGCCGCCAUUAGCUCUCACAUGGGCAUUGAUAAGGUUAGUUUUACAGGGUCGACAGAAGUAGGGUAUAAGAUAAUGCAGGCUGCAGCAACUAGCAAUCUAAAACCCGUUUCACUAGAGUUGGGAGGCAAGUCUCCUUUCAUAGUCUUUGAUGAUGUAGAUGUUGACAAGGUUUCGGAUCUUGGUUUAGCUGGAGUCACA